GUGUUCAUGAAAAGGAGAGAUGGUUGACAUCUCCCCUAAUACGGAUCAGAACAACUUUCGGAUUUUUCUGUUACAUACCUCGGUUAAGGUUGUGCAUCUCUUUGAGGUUGGAUCUAUAACCGAAUAUAGUUA